UCAGUUGCGGGGUUGGUGAAGAUUUUCUCCCAGUCAGUGGGUUGCCUUUCUGUCUUAGCGACAGUGUCCUUUGCUUUACAGAAGCUUCUCAGUCUCAGGAGGUCCUAUUUAUUCAAUGAGGCCCUUAAUGUUUGUGCUGCUGGGGUUCAAACUGCUUUUCACUGGCUGAUACCACCCUGAGGAAUGCUUGGGUAUUGUUCUGUGUGCACUGUCUUUCUGUCUGCCUUAUGCUCCUGCACUCCCUAGAGCAGAAUUAUGACUUAGUAGAAUUAGAUAGCCUCACUUUAACCCUGCUUUGACAGAAUUUUAACCCCAUAAGGAGCUAAAUCUUUUUCUUUUACUAUUUUUCUUUUUCAUUUUUUUCACCUCCCCCACUUUUUCUAUUUUUGGCAUUGCUCAGGCUCUAACCCCAAGCUAUUUUUGAUUGUGUGUUUUGUUUUCAGACUGUCCAAGUAAUUGUCCAGGCUCGACUUGGUGAAAAGAUUUGCACCCGUUCAUCUUCUUCCCCAACGGGUUCUGAUUGGUUCAAUUUAGCAAUCAAAGACAUCCCAGAUGUUACCCAUGAAGCAAAGAAGGCCCUGUCAGGGCAGCUGCCUGCGGUGGGACGCUCUAUGUGUGUGGAGAUCUCACUCAAGACUUCUGAGGGAGACUCCAUGGAGUUGGAAAUUUGGUGUCUUGAAAUGAAUGAAAAGUAAGUGUCGCUGUGUCGGACUCCGUGGUGUGGCACUGGGGUAGGCAGUGACCACAGAUGAAAGCAGACUUCGCUCUUGGCAUUCCUCUGGUCAGCAGAGCCAGCAGGCUUUGCUGUGACUUGCUUCAUGCUUGGCUUCCAGCCUAGGCACAGAGGUGACCUUCAGAGGGAGUGAGGUUCCAGAGCAUCGUCACAAUGGAAGGAACAGCAGCAAGGCUGCAGAGGAUUUGCUUUCCCAGUACAGCUUGUUCUCUGAGUCCCCUGUGAUCUCCUUCCCCAUGGUAUUGUUGGGGCAGCUCUCCAGUGAGAUCUCCUGCACUGCUCUUUCCACACUGAUGGGAUGGAAUGCCACCUCCUUCCCCUGGUUCUGUCUCACCACCUGCCUGAAGCUUGACUUUGCUUUUCCUUAAGUAGAAAGCAGUUGACAGACUAUCCAAACUUUUUGUAACAAAUAGGUUUUUUUUCUUCAGUUUUCUUUUUUUCCCCCUCAGGUGUUCUAUAUAGAAUUAAAUUGUUCCUAAGACAGAACCUUGAAAAUAAGCAGCAGGCUGAGUAUAAUUUGCAAUAUUGUUAAGUUGUUUUUUUGGUUUUUCGAGACAGGGUUUCUCUGUGGUUUUGGAGCCUGUCCUGGAAC